AUACAGGGGGUGCAAGCGUUAAUCGGAAUUACUGGGCGUAAAGCGCACGUAGGUGGUUCAUUAAGUCAGAUGUGAAAGCCCCGGGCUCAACCUGGGAACUGCAUUUGAAACUGGUGAGCUAGAGUAUGGUAGAGGUAAGUGGAAUUCCAGGUGUAGCGGUGAAAUGCGUAGAUAUCUGGAGGAACAUCAGUGGCGAAGGCGACUUACUGGACCAAUACUGACACUGAGGUGCGAAAGCGUGGGGAGCAAACAGGAUUAGAAACCCUAGUAGUCC
rnacentral:rRNA from 1 species